rnacentral:rRNA from 1 species
UACAGAGGUGGCAAGCGUUGUUCGGAAUUACUGGGCGUAAAGGGCGCGUAGGCGGCGCGACAAGUCACUUGUGAAAUCUCUGGGCUCAACCCAGAACGGUCAAGUGAUACUGUCGUGCUAGAGUGCGGAAGGGGCAACUGGAAUUCUUGGUGUAGCGGUGAAAUGCGUAGAUAUCAAGAGGAACACCUGCGGCGAAGGCGGGUUGCUGGGCCGACACUGACGCUGAGGCGCGAAAGCUAGGGGAGCGAACGGG